UACAGAGGGGGCAAGCGUUAUUCGGAAUUAUUGGGCGUAAAGGGCGCGUAGGCGGCUUGACAAGUGGAAGGUGAAAUUCCUCGGCUUAACCGAGGAACUGCCUUCCAGACUGUCUGGCUUGAGACCGGGAGAGGUGAGUGGAAUUCCCAGUGUAGCGGUGAAAUGCGUAGAUAUUGGGAGGAACACCAGUGGCGAAGGCGGCUCACUGGACCGGUACUGACGCUGAGGCGCGAAAGCGUGGGGAGCAAACGGG
rnacentral:rRNA from 1 species